GGAGCCGCCCCUCAACGUCGUGAGUGCCGAACAUUUCACUACCUAAAAAGAACGAAGUCACGGUGUGUCCGCUCGUCUGUAUGUCCGUCAAUCCCUGUUUGUCCGCCCGCCCCUGGUCUCCGCGGCCGCCUCCAUCCUCCGGUCCCUCCGCGGAACCGCACGCCUGGACUCGAACCGCACCGCCCCUGGACUCCGCGGCCGCCCCCUUCCUUCGCUCGCCUCGCCUCCCUCCGCACCUCGCCUCCCUCCGCCCAGCCGCGUGCUCCGCCUCCACUCCUUCCCCUUCGCAGCGGCGACGCACCUCGCCUGGACUCCGCGGGGAGGAACCGGUGGGGGCUCGAGCUCGCCUCGCCUCCCUCUGCACCGCGCGUCCUUUCCUUCGCUCACCUCGCCUCCUUUCCCGUCCUUUCCCGUCGCCCGCGAACCGCACGAAGCCUCCCCUCCGCGCAACCGCGUGCUCCGCCUCCCCUCCUUUCCCGUCGCCGCCGCCGCCGGACAGCGGCGCCGGGUGGGUCGUCUCCGGCAGGGGCCAAGAUCCGGAGCUGCAUCGCGGGCUCGUCGCGCCUCCCUUCCCCACCUGAAGCUCGGACCCCUCGCUCCUCACGGCCCGCGGCUUCCGGGACCGUGGCGCCUCCAAUCUCCUCCACCGCCCGACUUGAAGAAGUUUGGAUCGUCGGGCUCGGCGGCUUCCAGAUCGUGCUCGCAGUCAAGGACCUCUGCAACGGCGUCCGCGAGCCUGUAUAGAAGCUUGGGGACAGGAAGGAGACGGUCACCCAGUUCGUCAACAGCAACCUCUCCCCGAUCCAGCCAUAGGAUUUGGUGUUAAUGCAGCAGAUACUUUCAUGGUUUACUGAAUGUGGAGUUGGACAAAGAUAUAGGGAAAAAGGGAAGGAAAGCAUUACAGAAUGCCAAAAAAAAUUGAGUUCUGAUGAUACAUAGAGAAUCACUUGAAAGAAACAGAGAAUCUAAUUUGUGUUUUGUAUGGCAUUCAUGAAUUUUACCUAUUUUAAGAAUCUGGUACUGAACAUUUUCUUUUCAGUGGAUGAAUGCAACAAGCUGAGCGAGAACUGACUAUAUGCUGCUCAAUUCACAUGUUCAUUGUCCUUUCAUCCUUGUUCAUAAGGAAAAUUUCCCAUAUUUUUUUUUGACAAACUGUGCCAUAUGUGGAGUGCAUCAUACUAGCUCAUAGGUUAUCAGACAUCAAUGUAUUUUGUAUUUACCUGAACGCACAUCAUUUAUUUGUAAUCACAGUGGCUGUUCAUUAGUGGAGCACAGGAACCUAAGACUUCUCUAAACUUUAUACUGAACAGAAAUGCUACUACAUUGUCAAAUCUAGAAUAAUAAUGAUGUAUUUGUGAAUAUGUUAUGAUGUGUUUGAUGUCUUGCUGAGCAACAUGAGAUGGUGUUCAGUGCUCCUUGCGUUUGUUGAAUAUAAUUAUCAUUUGAAUGUAGCAAAUUGGGUUCUUUAAAUUGGGUUCCUGCACUUUCUGACAUGAUUGAUGUAUGAUGACUAGACAACAGUUUGAGAUUGAUAUUAGAAUUUAAACUGAUUUCAGAGCGCGGCUGUGAUCUAUAUCCAUCAACUGUGAGGCUAAUCUGAUUGGGUUCUAAUGCUUGAGCCAUGAAAAAAAUAUUUGGUAAAACAAUUGGCCUGCCCAGUGAAGAACUUUUAGCUAUAAUAUACUGACCUUAGUUUUCUCUUGGUCAAGCUAUUAGCAUCGUAAUCUGCAUGAGAUUACUGAUUACUGCAUGACAUCCUUCUAUGUUAUACUCUGCAGUAUUCGAUUUUUACUCCUAGUGAUAAUCCUGGUGAGUGCAUGCAUCAGCAAAACAUGAGUGAUAUGACUGGACAACCCGGUGGACUUGAUCUUGAUGAGAAUAGUGAUUGGUUGCAUACCAAUGACUCCUACCAACGGGGAAAUCCCCAGCAUGGGGGUACUCAAUCGACACCGACAGAUUGUGCUGCCGCCGAUGGAGAUUCCAUUAAUGUCUUGACCAAACCGGACUCAAUAUGUUACAGUCUAACACAAGAUAGGGCAGGUAUCCAAUGCUCAACAAGAGGGCAUCCAGAGAGGGAGAUAACCUGGGGCUGAGAGCGCACCCGAUUCACAGUCAGCGAACAAUGACAAAAAGCAACGUAAGCGGGAAAGAGACAGAGCAAGGUAUGCUGCAAUGUCUCAAGAAGAGAAGAAUGCAAGAAAAUUAAGGCUGCGUGAAGCACGUCAAAAAAAGAAAGAAUUUCAGAAUCCUAUGGAAACAAACAGUUCUCGUGCUCCAUUGGGAAAUUUGACAAACCACACUAAUGGAGGGGCUGAGAGCGCACCCGAUUCACAGUCAGCAAUGAAUGACAUAAAGCAACAAAGGCGGGAAAUGGACAGAGCAAGAUAUGCAGCUAUGUCUCAAGAAGAAAAGAAUGCAAGAAAUCUGAAGCUGCGUGAAGCGCGUCAAAAAAAUAAAGAAUACCAGAAUCCCAUGGAAACAAAUUGUUCUCGUGCUCCAUUUGGUGAUUUGACGAACCACACUAAUGGAGGUGUUAAGGGCGCACCGAAUUCACCGUCAGCAAACAAUGAUAGUAAGACUAGUAAGCAGGAAAGGGAUAGAGCAAGAUAUGCAGUAAUGUAUCAAGAAGAGAAGAAUGCAAGAAAUUUGAGGCUGCGUGAAGCGCGUCGAAAAAAUAAAGGUGCUAGAUGUAUUCCAAAAUUGUGGUGUUACAAAUACAUUACCUGUAAUAAUGGGUGUAAUCUGGAUGGGUCAAGGUUUCAGGGUUCUUACAAAUUUGUUGGACAUUUUAAUAUUUUUCUCAUGUUUUUCAAUUUUGGUUUUGGAGUAUGUUUGCUUGUCAUGAUAUGAGUAAAAGAAUACUGAGUUUCUUGCAUUCCAUUGGUGAGCCAGAAUUUAGUUCGACUUUUACUACUUUUUAUUCUUAUUAUGUUUGUACAAACUACUAUUUGUAGAGGAGGCUGGUGCAUUGAACGAUGAAAAUAUUCAUCCUACUAAAAGAAGACAAAAUGACUUGAGAAAGAAUAGAUGGCACCCUCGCUCCAUUGCCGUGGAGAAUCCACAUUAUGUCCAAUCUACACACCACCAUCACGUGAAGAACAAUCACCUGAUCUUGGGGCUCCAGAAAUGCUUGUUGGCCGCUUAAACCAUAGGCAUCAUGUUACACACGGAGAAAGACAUUCAUUGCUAACAUGUUGGAAUCGACAUUUUGCGUUGAACAUAUCAAGAAAAUCUUGUCGGGCACUACAUGAAGAUCAAGGCAUUUAUGAAGAUAAUGAGGAAGAUGUUAGUUUACCGCAACCCCCGACUCAAUCAACUGGCACCGUGAAUGAUAGUCUUGAUCAAAGCCAACCAAAAUAUACGGGGGAUCCAGCAUGUACAAAUGUUAUAGAUGCCGAGGAUGAUUGCGCCGAGGAUGAUUGUGAUGAGGACGUGAUAUUCGAGGAGGACGACGAGGAGUUUGAAGGA